UGACACACUGAAAUACCACGCCAUCAUGAACCUGUGGUUAUUAUAUCGGUGACACACUGAAAUACCACGCCAUCAUGAACCUGUGGUUAUUAUAUCGGUGACACACUGAAAUACCACGCCAUCAUGAACCUGUGGUUAUCAUAUCGGUGACACACUGAAAUACCACAGAUAUCUGGCUGAGAGUUGAGCGCUCCCUUCUGGGUAGUGAUACACAAUCUUCCAGGACUUGUCAGAUGGACUAGACACAGCAAAAAACAGAGCUUGGCACAUUUGCUUUAUGGAAGCAAAAUCAUUCACGCAAAUGCUUUAUUUUUUCACAACUACAUCAUGACAGUCACUGGCCAAUGUAAUGUUUGCUCCUGUAUUUAUCCACUCUUUUGAGUGUCUGAAUCUUUUAAUGUAACUGUACUGCAAACACUUAUCUACAAAUAAUGCCUUUCGGAAUAGUAUUUUAUGAAUGUGAUUGUCCUCCUGGGGUUUGAUUUAGCCAAAGUUUCACUUCAAUUAAAUGGCCGUAUAAUGUUCUUCAGCACAUCACGAUUCUAGCUCACCCCAGUGAAUUGGGAGGAUUAAGACCAUAAUACUCUAGAGAGAUUAUUUUGAUUCAUUUAACACAACCUGAGGAACUUGGUUAUAUGAGCUGUUAGUAUAUUCCCCAUUAAAGAAGAAUUCAUUUUAAAGGCAAAACAUUUACAAACCACAAUUUUGAACAGAUGAUUACAGCAUUGGUUGUGUAAUUCUCCUUUUAUAAAACAUAUUUUGGUGAUAUAACGCUAUGCUAUAUUGUCCGCAUCUGUACAUUUAAAAUGUUAUUACCUUUUGACUGGAUUUAUUAAGAUAUUUCAUAGUCCUCUAUCGGUUGAUAUACUGUUAAUCAACAAACAAAUGUGUACAACACAGCUAUAAAUGCACGCCUCAAUGUGUAUUGUAAAAGAGCUUUGCUUUUGGUUGCCAUCAGCUUUUGCCUCAGUCCAAUACCAAAGUUAUCUGCAAUAUUGCAUGAUAUGAUUCUUCCGAACUUUGCUCAGAAGCUGUCAAAUUGCUCUGUGUGUCUUUAAGUCAGCCAUUUCCUUCCAAGUAACUGCAAACUAUAAAUUGCUUUAUUGAGUCCACAUACAGUGCUGUGAAAGUCUAUGCCCCUUUCUGAUUUUCUCUAUUUUUGACAUUGAAUGUUACCAGAACUUCAACCAAAACUUGAGUGAAGAAAUAACGCAACAAUUACAUAUAUUGUUUAUUUAAUAAACAAAGUUAUGCAACACCCAAUGCCCUGUGUAAAAAAGUAAUUGCCCUCUUACACUCAAUAACUGGGUGUGCCUCCUUUAGCUACAUUGACUGCAACCAAACGCUUCAUAUAGUUGUUGAUCAGUCUCUCACAUCGCCGUGGAGGAAUGUUGUCCCCCUCCUCCGUUGAGAACUGCUCUAACUCUGGCAUUUGUUGAUUUUCAAAUAUGAACUGCUCAUUUCAGGUCCUGCCACAACAUUUCAAUCAGGAUCAGGUCUGAACUUUGACUAGAACAUUCUAAAACUUCAAAUUUGUUGCUUUUCAACUAUUCAGAUCUAGACUUGUUUUGUGUAUUUUGGAUCAUUGUCUUGCUGCAUAACCCAGCUGUGCUUCAGCUUCAAUUCACGGAAGGCUGGCCUGACAUUCUCCUGAUACAGAGCAGAAUUUAUGGUUCCUUCAAUGAUGGAAAGUCAUCCAGGUCCUGAGGCAGCAAAGUAUCCCCAAACCAUCACACUACCACCAUCAUGCUUGACCACUGGUAUGAGGUUCUUACUGUGGAAUGCAGUGUUUGGUUUUCGGCAGACAUAACGGGACCCAUGUCGUCCAAAAAGUUCUACUUUUGAGUCAUCUGUCCGUAGAGCAUCUUGAUGAUCCUCCAGGUACUUAUUUGGCAAACUUGAGUCAACUUUUUUGGAGGACAUGGGUCCCAUUAUGUCUGGCGAAAACCAAACACUGCAUUCCACAGUAAGAACCUCUUACCAACGGUCAAGCGUGGUGGUGGUGGUGGUGGUGGUAGUGUGAUGGUUUGGGGAUGCUUUGCUGCCUCAGGACCUGGAUGACUUGUCAUCAUUAGAGGAAUGAUGCUCUGUAUCAGAGAAUUCUAGAAUUCUACAGGAGAAUGUCAGGCCAUCCAUCCGUAAGCUGAAGCGCAACUGGAUCAUGCAGCAAGACAAUGAUCCAUAACACACAAUCAAGUCUACAUGAACAUGGUUGAAAAGCAACACAUUUUAUGUUUUGGAACGGCCGAGUCAAAGUCCAGACCUAAUCCUGAUUGAGUUGUUGUGGCAGGACUUGGAACGAGCAGUUCAUGCUUGAAAACCCACAAAUGUUGCUGAGUUAAAGCAGUUCUGCAUGGAAGAGUGGGCCAAAAUUGCUCCACAGCGAUGUGAGAGACUGAUGACAACUGCAUGAAGCGUUUUGUUACAAUCAUUGCAGCUAAAGGUGGCACAACCAGUUGUUGAGUGUGUACGGUGGCAAUUACUUUUUUUACACAGAGGCAUUGAGUGUUUCAUAACUUUAUUAAAUAAGUAUCAAAUUGUUAUUUGUGUACACAGGUUUUGGUUGAAAAUCUGAUAACAUUCAAUAUCAAAAAUAUGCAAAAAUGUAAAGAAAUCAUAAAAGGGGCUAAUACUUUUUCACUGCACUGUACUUGUUACGAUUUAAGUAUGGAAAAGUAUCUUGAAUAUAUAAAUGUUGUAAGAUGUUAAUUCUCUGUAUUCAAAAAUAUAUAGCUCAAUAAAGUUGUACAUUUCUCAAG
ensembl:lncRNA